CAACUACUCUCUCCGUCCGGAAAUACUUGUCUGGGAAAUGGUUGUAUCUAGACUUAUUUUAGUUAUAGAUACAUCCAUUUUAUCCAUUUCUAGGACAAGUAUUUCCGGACGGAGGGAGUACUAG
rfam:Triticum aestivum genome assembly, contig: Triticum_aestivum_CS42_TGACv1_scaffold_642236_T_2DS-0.188068_1DS-0.104483